rnacentral:tRNA from 1 species
GGGAAGGUAGCUCAGUGGUAGAGUGCUUGCCUGGCAUGCAUGAGGUCCUGGGUUUGAUUCCUCAGCACCA